AGAGUUUGAUCCUGGCUCAGGAUGAACGCUAGCGGCAGGCCUAAUACAUGCAAGUCGAACGGGAGGCGCCUUCGGGGUGCCGAGAGUGGCGGACGGGUGCGCAACGCGUAUGCAACCCACCCCGACGCGGCGGACAGCCGGUGGAAACGCCGGGCGAUCCGCCAUGCGGCCCAGAGGGGGCAUCCCCUGUGGGCCAAAGCCUUCGGGCGCGUCGGGACGGGCAUGCGUCCCAUUAGCUUGUAGGCGGGGCGACGGCCCACCUAGGCUACGAUGGGUAGGGGAUCUGAGAGGACGGUCCCCCACACUGGCACUGAGACACGGGCCAGACUCCUGCGGGAGGCAGCAGUAGGGGAUAUUGGUCAAUGGGCGGGAGCCUGAACCAGCCAUGCCCGCGUGAGGGAAUGGGGCCCUACGGGUCGUGAACCUCUUUUGACCGGGGACAACGGCGGCGUCGUGAACGCCGCGUGAGGGUACCGGUGGAAUAAGCGCCGGCUAACUCCGUGCCAGCAGCUGC
rnacentral:rRNA from 1 species